rnacentral:snRNA from 1 species
AUCGCUUCUCGGCCUUUUGGCUAAGAUCAAGUGUAGUAUCUGUUCUUAUCAGUUUAAUAUCUGAUACGUCCCCCAUCGGGGGACUACAUAUUAAAUGGAUUUUUCGAACAGGGAGUCGGAAAUGGGGCUUGCUCCGUCGCGCUCCACGCAUCGACCCGGUAUUGCAGUACCUCCGGAACGGUGCAACACUU